GUGGAUUAGAUACCCUAGUAGUCCUAGCCGUAAACGAUGGAUGCUAGGUGUAGGUGGUAUUGACCCCAUCUGUGCCGAAGCUAACGCGUUAAGCAUCCCGCCUGGGGACUACGGCCGCAAGGUUAAAACUCAAAGGAAUUGACGGGGACCCGCACAAGCAGCGGAGCGUGUGGUUUAAUUCGAUGCUACACGAAGAACCUUACCCAGGUUUGACAUGUAGGUAGUAGUGAAGCGAAAGCAGAACGAUCCUUCGGGAAGCCUGCACAGGUGCUGCAUGGCCGUCGCCAACU
rnacentral:rRNA from 1 species